UCAGAUUGAACGCUAGCGGGAUGCUUUACACAUGCAAGUCGAACGGCAGCGCGGACUUCGGUCUGGCGGCGAGUGGCGAACGGGUGAGUAAUGUAUCGGAACGUACCCAGUAGCGGGGGAUAACUACUCGAAAGAGUGGCUAAUACCGCAUACGCCCUACGGGGGAAAGGGGGGGAUCGCAAGACCUCUCACUAUUGGAGCGGCCGAUAUCGGAUUAGCUGGUUGGUGGGGUAAAGGCCUACCAAGGCGACGAUCCGUAGCUGGUUUGAGAGGACGACCAGCCACACUGGGACUGAGACACGGCCCAGACUCCUACGGGAGGCAGCAGUGGGGAAUUUUGGACAAUGGGGGCAACCCUGAUCCAGCCAUCCCGCGUGUGCGACGAAGGCCUUCGGGUUGUAAAGCACUUUUGGCAGGAAAGAAAUUGCCUGGGUUAACACCCUGGGUAGAUGACGGUACCUGCAGAAUAAGCACCGGCUAACUACGUGCCAGCAGCCGCGGUAAUACGUAGGGUGCAAGCGUUAAUCGGAAUUACUGGGCGUAAAGCGUGCGCAGGCGGUUCGGAAAGAAAGAUGUGAAAUCCCAGGGCUUAACCUUGGAACUGCAUUUUUAACUACCGGGCUAGAGUGCGUCAGAGGGGGGUGGAAUUCCGCGUGUAGCAGUGAAAUGCGUAGAUAUGCGGAGGAACACCGAUGGCGAAGGCAGCCCCC
rnacentral:rRNA from 1 species